rnacentral:misc_RNA from 1 species
CUGCAAUAGGGAUCGAAGUGUAAAUCCCGGAGUCUUGUCUGAAAAGACGAGACGAGGAAUUGGAGCGUAGAGCCCGACCCGAG